rnacentral:rRNA from 1 species
UGGGGAAUCUUCCGCAAUGGACGAAAGUCUGACGGAGCAACGCCGCGUGAGUGAAGACGGCCUUCGGGUUGUAAAGCUCUGUGAUCCGGGACGAAAGAGCCUGAGGUAAAUAGCCUAAGGAAGUGACGGUACCGGAAAAGCAAGCCACGGCUAACUACGUGCCAGCAGCCGCGGUAAUACGUAGGUGGCAAGCGUUGUCCGGAAUUAUUGGGCGUAAAGCGCGCGCAGGCGGCUUCCUAAGUCCAUCUUAAAAGUGCGGGGCUUAACCCCGUGAUGGGGUGGAAACUGGGAAGCUGGAGUAUCGGAGAGGAAAGUGGAAUUCCUAGUGUAGCGGUGAAAUGCGUAGAGAUUAGGAAGAACACCGGUGGCGAAGGCGACUUUCUGGACGAAAACUGACGCUGAGGCGCGAAAGCGUGGGGAGCAAACAGG